UACGAAGGGGGCUAGCGUUGCUCGGAAUCACUGGGCGUAAAGCGCACGUAGGCGGAUUGCUAAGUCAGGGGUGAAAUCCUGGAGCUCAACUCCAGAACUGCCCUUGAUACUGGCGGUCUCGAGUCCGGGAGAGGUGAGUGGAACUGCGAGUGUAGAAGUGAAAUUCGUAGAUAUUCGCAAGAACACCAGUGGCGAAGGCGGCUCACUGGCCCGGUACUGACGCUGAGGUGCGAAAGCGUGGGGAGCAAACAGG
rnacentral:rRNA from 1 species